rnacentral:rRNA from 1 species
GUCUACAUUUAGAUACCCCUGUAGUCCCAGCCGUAAACUAUGCUCGCUAGGUGUCAGGCAUGGCGCGACCGUGUCUGGUGCCCGCAGGGAAGCCGUGAAGCGAGCCACCUGGGAAGUACGGCCGCAAGGCUGAAACUUAAAGGAAUUGGCGGGAGCACCACAACGGGUGGACGCCUGCGGUUUAAUUGGACUCAACGCCGGGAAGCUCACCGGAUAAGACAGCGGAAUGAUUGCCGGGCUGAAGACUCUGCAUGACUAGCUG